AUCGACUAGCCAUGCGAGUCGAGAGGGUUCGGCCCUCGGCAGACUGCUCAGUAACACGUGGAUAACCUAACCUUAGGUGGAAGAUAACCUCGGGAAACUGAGAAUAAUAUUCCAUAGAUCUAGGAUGCUGGAAUGCAUCUAGAUUGAAAGUUCCGACGCCUAAGGAUGGGUCUGCGGACUAUCAGGUUGUAGUCAGGGUAAAGACCUGACUAGCCUACGACGGAUAUGGGUUGUGAGAGCAAUAGCCCAGAGACGAUAUCUGAGACACGAUAUCGGGCCCUACGGGGCGCAGCAGGCGCGAAAUCUUCACAAUGUGCGAAAGCACGAUGAGGGGAUCCCAAGUGCUGGCACGUAAGUGUCAGCUGUUUCUUAGUCUAAAAAACUGAGAGAGUAAGGGCUGGGUAAGACGGGUGCCAGCCGCCGCGGUAAUACCUGCAGCUCAAGUGGUGGCCGCUAUUAUUGGGCCUAAAACGUCCGUAGCCUGUUUAGUAAAUGCUUGGGUAAAUUGUGUAGCUUAACUAUACGAAUACCGGGUAGACUGCUAAACUUGGGACCGGGAGAGGCUAGAGGUACUCCUGGGGUAGAGGUGAAAUUCUGUAAUCCUAGGGGGACCACCAGUGGCGAAGGCGUCUAGCUAGAACGGGUCCGACGGUGAGGGACGAAGCCCUGGGGCGCAAACCGGAUUAGAUACCCGGGUAGUCCAGGGUGUAACGCUGCUUGCUUGAUGUUAGUUGGGCUCCAAGCCCACUAGUGUCGGA
rnacentral:rRNA from 1 species